rnacentral:rRNA from 1 species
AACGCGAAGAACCUUACCUGGGUUUGACAUGCAUAUGACGUAUACAGAGAUGUAUAUUUCCCGCAAGGGACAUUUGCACAGGUGCUGCAUGGCUGUCGUCAGCUCGUGCCGUGAGGUGUUGGGUUAAGUCCCGCAACGAGCGCAACCCUUGUCGUUAGUUGCCAGCAAGUAAAGUUGGGAACUCUAACGAGACUGCCUGGGUUAACCAGGAGGAAGGUGAGGAUGACGUCAAGUCCGCAUGGCCUUUAUGCCCAGGGCUACACACGUGCUACAAUGGUCGGUACAGAGGGUAGCAAAGCCGAGAGGUGGAGCAAAUCCUAAAAGCCGGCCCCAGUUCGGAUUGUAGUCUGCAACUCGACUACAUGAAGAUGGAAUUGCUAGUAAUGGCGGGUCAGCAACACCGCCGUGAAUACGUUCCCGGGCCUUGUACACACCGUACGUC